GCACAAGUAGGAAGGCACAACCAGGAGCAGAGGGGGGUGGCCAGCCAGAACACAAGUGUGCGGCUUGCAUAAUGGAAGGAGAAAGUCGAAAGUCGGGUAGGAGCCUGGAGUAAACGCUAAAUUCAUAAGGACUGCCUUUAUUCCACAGGCAAAGGAGCAGGAGCACAUCAAAGACUUGCCAAAGAAGCUGCUUAUUUCACAGAAGGAUGGUGCUGGCUGAAAGAUACUUCCUUGAAACUGAGAGAUUGCUUCCUUAGACAGGUCUCCUUGAAGAGGUUGGAGAACUUAAAAACCAUCCAAAAUGAAAUAGCUGUUUAGGUUCAUGGCAUAUAUUCAGACAGAUGUAUUUCUUUGCCCAGACAAGAAUCCAUCAAUUUUCUUCUACUAGAAGUACUUAGAGG
rnacentral:lncRNA from 1 species